AUGACUGUAUGGUGCUAUUCUUUCUCUCUCUCCCUACCUCUGUGAUAUAGGAGCUGGGUCAGCUAUAGGAGCCGAAGUCGGACUCCUUCAUGACCAGUAUCUGGACGAGAGGGGCCUGGAGCUGUCCUCAGAUGGGACAAAAGAUGGGCAGUCCUUUGACUGAAAGACAGGUUAAUACAGGGAUGUCUGAACUGGGAGAGACCUUGCACUCAACAUAACAAUUAAACAAGACACAUCUAUUACCUUUUAUCCUUUUGUUUUUAUUGAAUUGAAUGGUACCAUCAACAGGGGGAACUCCUGUCUUAUAUGGGACACCAUACAUGAAGGCUACUAACCGACUAGCAUCGUCCUGGAGUAAGCUUUGAAUUGGUCAGUAGCCUACAGAGUGGUCUCCUCCUGCAUCUCAUAUCUGCCUGUAGUUAUUGAACUCUGCCUGCUGGACCCAUGGGUGAGGUAAUCUCUGUCAUAUCCAAGAUGGAAGUCAUGCACUACACCCCUACUGCCACCUGAAUGCACCUGUCCAUAAUCUGUAAUACAUUACAUAGAAUGAAGGCACUUCAUCACACACUGGAGACUUGAAGACAGAACCUCACCUCAAGAGACUGAAAAUAUUUUGCAUGGGUCUUCAGAUCCUCAAAAAGUUCUACAGCUGCACCAUCGAGAGCAUCCUGACUGGUUGCAUCACCGCCUGGUAUGGCAACUGCGCGGCCUCCGACCGCAAGGCGCUACAGAGGGUAGUGAGUACAGCCCAGCACAUCAAGGAGGCUUUCUGCCAUCUAGGACCUCUAUACCAGGCGGUGUCAGAGGAAGGCCCUAAAAAUUGCCAAAGACUCCAGCCACCCUAGUCAUAGACUGUUCUCUCUGCUACCGCACAGCAGGUGGUACCGGAGUUCCAAGUCUAGGUCUAACAGCUUCUACCCCCAAGUCAUAAGACUGCUGAAUAGCUAAUCAAAUGCCUACCAGGACUAUUUAAAUUGACCCCCCUUUUUUUACGCUGCUGCUACUUGCUGUUCAUGAUCUAUUAUCUAUGCAUAGUCACUUUACCCCGACCUACAUAUAAAUAUUACCUCAAUUACCUUGACUAACCUGUACCCCCGCACAUUGACUAGGUACCGGAACCCCCUGUAUAUAGCCAUGUUAUUGUAAUUGUAUUGUUGCACUUUUAUUUUUUACUUUAGUUUAUUUAGUAAAUAUUUUUAUUAACUCUUAUUUUUCUUAAAACGACAUUGUUCGUUAAGGGCUUGUAAGUAAGCAUGUCAUGGUUGUAAUCGGCGCAUGUGACAAAUAACAUUUGGUUUCGAUUUGAUUUGUGCAUGUCAGUGUGUUAGACAGCCAAAUACUUAGAUUUGGUCAAAUAGACAAAUAUAAUGCCAUUAUAGUUUGGGUUAGACAGCUGAAGUUGUACUCUACACAUAUUUUUGUCAUAUUUCUGUCACACUGUCUAUAUAAGCACAUCAAUUUGAUAUUUACAGCAUCAAAUGUCUUGUCUUUGUAACACGAACACACUCAUCAUUCAUAGAUUUUUAGUUGAUAAAUGUAUCUACACUCAAGCUGGGUGAUGUUUAUGCAAUGUCCCCAUGUAGCCUACACCGGUUGUAGGGAUAUUAGUUCUGGCAUUUGUACCCCGGGAAAGAUUUAACGGAGGACAUAAGAGAGACGAGACGAGACAAAACUAGCCAGUUAUAGAAUAUUGCGCUGUAGGACAGCUGAGCUGACUCAAGAACGGGCCUUCAACUCGCAGUUGAUCCCAUUUCCAAGGUAACAUGUAUUUACAUGAUGCGAUGAAACAUUGAAACUAAGUUGCAAAAGCUACGAGGUGUUGUAGAACAAGUGUCUUAUGAAACACAUUCCUGACAUUGGCUCUUGCCAUAAUGGAUUUGACAUAGAAAUAUCAGCUAAAUAGCAUAGCCAGUUGCAGCUAUCACCAAGCUAUGCUAACUAGCUGUUGUCAGCUUUG